rnacentral:rRNA from 1 species
AUUGAACGCUGGCGGCAGGCCUAACACAUGCAAGUCGAACGAGUGGCGGACGGGUGAGUAAUGCCUGGGAAACUGCCUGAUGGAGGGGGAUAACUACUGGAAACGGUAGCUAAUACCGCAUAACAUAGGAUGUGCCCAAAUGGGAUUAGCUAGUAGGUGAGGUAAAGGCUCACCUAGGCGACGAUCCCUAGCUGGUCUGAGAGGAUGACCAGCAACACUGGAACUGAUACACGGUCCAGACUCCGACGGGAGGAAGCAGUGGGGAAUAUUGCACAAUGGGCGAAAGCCUGAUGCAGCCAUGCCGCGUGAAUGAAGAAGGCCUUCGGGUUGUAAAGUACUUUCAGCUGGGAGGCGUUACCCGCAGAAGAAGCACCGGCUAACUCCGUGCCAGCAGCCGCGGUAAUAC